AUACUGAGUGUCACCAUUUAAUGCAGCUGGAGUCAAAUUAAUCAAAUAAUAGGCAAUCAUAACAGCCUCACCCCAAAACAACUUAGGGACACUAGAACUUAACAUCAUGCAACGUACUUUAUCAAGUAUAAUCCUAUUCAUCCUUUUCACUACCCCGUUUUGCUGGGGAGUGUAAGGAAUAGUCUUGUGUCUAGUUAUGUCAUUUUCUUUACACAUACUAUCAAAUUCCGUAUUGCAGAAUUCUAGGCCGUUAUCUAUCCUUAAAAUUUUGAUUUUCUUACUAGUUUGGUUUUCCACUUGUCUCUUCCAGUUAUUAAAAUUAUGAAAAGUCUCGGAUUUAUCUUUCAACAUAUAGACCCACACUUUCCUAAUAUAGUCAUCGAUAAUAGACAGGAAAUACCUAUUUCCACCCAAUGUGGGAUUACUAGCAGUAUCCCACAGAUCAGAAUACACAUAUUCAAGCAUGCCUUUAGCUUUAUGAACACUCGUGGAGAACAAAGUUUAUGAUGCUUACUAAGCACACAGUGAUCACAAAAUGACAAAUCUGACAAACAGUCACUAAAUGCACCUUUUUCAUUAAGUAACUUAAAUCCCUUAAUGCCUACGUGUGUAAGUCUAUUAUUUCAUGUGUGUGUGUGUGAUCAAUCUUGACAGAAGAGUUAGAGGAGUUCAAACCUCUAAUCACUUUCCCAGUAGUAAUAUUAAUGUCGUUUUUCUUAGUUCCCUUAAUGGAAACUAAAGCACCCUUAAUCAUUUUUAGCAUACUAUUUCCAAUUUUACUAGUGAAGUCAUCCUUUUCAAGUCUCCCUACGGAAAUCAAAUUCCUAGACAAUUUAGGAAUAUAUCUAACAUCUUUUAACGCGUACACAAAAUCCGUGUCAAAUUUUACGUUUAUGUUACCAAUUCCAGCAAUAGUAUAGGCAAAGUUAUCACACAGCACAACAUGCCCAACGUUAGAUUCAUACAAAUUAUAAAACCAAUUCUUUUCAGACGUCACGUGGAACAAUGCACCAGAAUCAAGUAUCCACUCAUGCAUACGGGAAUUAGCAGUUAGAUUCAAUUCAACAGCGUAUGCAACUGAACUUGUAAGCAUAUAGACCUCAUCGUUAUCUAUCUCAAAUGUAGAGGAUAACACAUUUACCUCAUCUCUUUCCUUAAUCUUUAACUUGCCCUUUUCUUUAUGACAAUUUUUUAUAAAAUGCCCUGUGUUUCCACAGCCAUAACAUUUUCUGGCCUUCGUCCUAGAUUUUGAUCUAGAUCUACCCUUGCCCUUCUUUUUCCAUCCACUGCCACUUAACUCGCCACCACUUUGAUAUCCAUCAUCACUAUUUUGCCUAAAUUAAGUUCUACCCCACAUCAUAUGUAACUCACCGCUCCUCUUAUCGUGUUUUUCAGCCCUAAUUUCCAUUUCUUUGUUCCUAAGGGAGUCUAUGACAAUUUCAAGUGUUAACGUAUCUCUACUAUACUUAAUGGUGUUCUUAACUUUCUUAUAAGAAUCAGGGAUCACAUUGAGCAAAAUUAUAGCCUUAUAAGUUUCGAACACAGCCUCAUCACAAUUAACUAUACCCUGUACCAACUUGUUAAACACAUCUAAAUUAUCAUCGAGAUCCUUUGAAGGAUCCAUUUUAAAAUUGAAAAAAUGUUCGAGCAAGUAGAGUAUAUUCGGUGUAGACUUAAGCAAAUAUAAGUUUUCUAAUUUUUUCCAAAGUUCUUUAGUGGUUUUCAGUUUAUCCACCUUUCUUAAAACAGCGUCAGACAAAUAUAAAAUGAUUGAGGUGUAAGCAAGCUCAUCGGCUUCUUCUCUUUGUUCUUUUGAAAAAUCAGUUGAAAAAUUACCUUCAAUAGCCUUUGAAACCUUUUGUUGAACUAAAAUACCCUUCAUUUUUUGUUGUCAAAUAGAAAAGUCACCCUUUCCGUUAAAAAUCUUCAAAUCAAAGUUGUGAGUUGUCAUCUUCACACAACAGUUAAAGAAUGCACAAAACACAAUCAAACAACACAAAGUAGUCCUAGAGUCACAAACAAUAUACGCCGUUCUAGAUUCCCAGGGUUUCGUAAGACUCAC
rnacentral:lncRNA from 1 species